rnacentral:lncRNA from 1 species
GGCUCUGGAUAUGGAUCUCGUUCGGGUUAUGGAAGAGGAGGGCGUCCAUAGACAUGGUCGACAUCUAGUUUAUAUGAAAUAUUCAUAAUUAUUAAGAUUUCAAUUUGUGCAUGAGGUGUACCAUAAAGUGAUUUGUGCAUGAUUGCUACUGUUACAAUAUCUCAUAUCUAUAUGAUUAUAUAUGUACGUACAACAAGUUGAAAUAUAAAUUUGAGAAAUUAAUUUAAAUAUCAUUUGAAGACAUAAUUGACGAGGUUCGUAAAAA